AAAGCUUUAAGUUAAGAAAACUAAUAACCUUCAAAGUUAUAAAUAUAAAAAUUUUAUAAGCUUUA
rnacentral:tRNA from 1 species